UACGAAGGGGGCUAGCGUUGUUCGGAAUUACUGGGCGUAAAGCGCGCGCAGGCGGCUAUCCAAGUCAGUGGUGAAAGCCCGGAGCUCAACUCCGGAACUGCCAUUGAAACUGUUUAGCUUGAGGAUGAGAGGGGUGAGUGGAAUUCCCAGUGUAGAGGUGAAAUUCGUAGAUAUUGGGAAGAACACCGGUGGCGAAGGCGGCUCACUGGCUCAUUACUGACGCUCAGGCGCGAUAGCGUGGGGAUCAAACAGG
rnacentral:rRNA from 1 species